GUAGGUGGCUGGUAGCACUUCCCGUCUUUCAACUCUUCAAGACGGGCAAAAAACGUGAAUGUCUUUGAAUCUCUACUGUCAAGUGCUGCAUUUUGCAUAGUUUCUUUGUCUCUACAAAUUCUGCACCAGCUAAAUCACGAAAAACUACGAGCGACGCAUGUGACUGCAAUUACGAUGCUGGCAGUUCGUCAUAAAAAUGGAGGACGCUUGCAAGAUACUAUGAAUCGUGCGGAAUAAGGGCCAGCGCGAUUGAAGUGAGAAAUGCUGUAAAUACAUGAAUACUGGGGGCCUGGCAAAAAUCAGCAAAGCUGCUACACAGUUCCCACAGAAUUCCCAGUGCACUCACAAUUGGGUAUGG